rnacentral:rRNA from 1 species
CCUGCCGAAUGAAUUAGCCCUGAAAAUGGAUGGCGCUGAAGCGUGUAGCCGACACUAUGCCGUCUGGUCAAAGAAUUUAAUUGUUGCAAAUUCUUCAGAAUUGUCCCAGAUGAGUAGGAGGAAUGUGGCGGUCGUAUUGAAGCGUGUGCGCAAGCACGCGUGGAACGGCCGCUAGUACAGAUCUUGGUGGUAGUAGCAAAUAUUCAAAUGAGAACCUUGAAGGGUGAAGCGNGGAAGGGUUCCACGCGAACAUUGAUUGGGCGUGGGUGAGUCGUUCCUAAGCCGUGUGGUAAUUGUAAGACAACCGGCGAAAGGGAAGCAGGUUGAUAUUNCUGCACACGGAUGUGGAUAUGCGGUGACGCACACUGAGGCGGUGAAGUCGUCGAUUGCACUGGGCAGAGAUUUCUUUUCUGUUUGACGGAGCCUGACUGUACGCUAUGGAAUCCGCUUGUCGGGAGAAAUAGGUAUGUCACGGCAAAGCGCCGGGUUUUUUCUGGCGUCCAGUUUGCAAUUGGCGGACCUUGAAAAACUGUCUGCUGGCAGAACACUUGUUGUUUUGUGUGAAAAAUUCCACGCCGUAACGUACCCAUAACCGCAUCAGGUCCCCAAGGUGAACAGCCUCUGCUCGAUAUGAAAAAUGCAGGUGAGGGAAGUCGGCAAAUUAGACCCGUAACUUUGGGAAAAGGGUUGGCUCUAGUGCUGCGUAGGAGUGGUUGCCGGUUGUAGCCGCGGAAUGCGGUGUUCUGCUUUUAUGUGACGGCUGCAGGUUGGAAAUGUAUAUUUUCGGCCCGCGCCAUUGUGUAAUGACGGAUCCCCAUUCUGAGACUCCUGGCGACGCCUACAGCAUGCAGCAAACUAGAACUGCAACGGACAAAGGGAAUCCGACUGUUUAAUUAAAACAAAGCAUU